CACGUAGGGCGCAAGCGUUGUCCGGAUUUAUUGGGCGUAAAGAGCUCGUAGGCGGUUUGUCGCGUCUGCUGUGAAAACCCGAGGCUCAACCUCGGGCCUGCAGUGGGUACGGGCAGACUAGAGUGCGGUAGGGGAGAUUGGAAUUCCUGGUGUAGCGGUGGAAUGCGCAGAUAUCAGGAGGAACACCAAUGGCGAAGGCAGAUCUCUGGGCCGUAACUGACGCUGAGGAGCGAAAGCAUGGGGAGCGAACAGG
rnacentral:rRNA from 1 species